GCUCGAAUUGCAAUCUCUGUGUAUUAAACCCUUGAUAUUUACAUUGGCAUUAUAAGUUAAAAGAAAUACAGGAAAAUAAUAAUAAUAAUAAUAAUCCUGACAGCACUUUGUUCCAAACAAAAUACAUGAAUGAAUGCCCUCGCUAUUUAUAUUUUUUUCCCCCUAUUUCCUAUUUCUACUUGUGUGUCAACCACAAUCCCUAAUACUCUCCAACAAAACAUACAAGUUGACAACAAAAAAAAACUCAAGACAUAUAUUAUCAUGACUCCCAGAAGAGCUCAAAAUCAUUACUGUACAGUGACCGGUCUUGAAUCUCCAAAUUUGCAACAUGCCAAUUAAUAAGUUGCGAUUGCAAAAUCUUACAGAGAACCAGUCCAGCUGGAAAUAUCCACCUUUCACUUUCAUCCAUGCUAAUAUUCCAUGUAUGUUAGUUUCCAAAACCCAAAACUUACCAAUGAAUUAAACUUUUUACUUGAGGAAGAUUGAUUGUGAUAGUGAACAUAUCCACAAAUAAAAGCAACCACAACAUUAAUUAAGGAUGUAACAUUCCACAAAGCAUAGAUACGUGCAAGGCCGGCAGAGCGCCUAGGUCCAUGACUGAAUAAAGCAUUGAUUCC
rnacentral:misc_RNA from 1 species